rnacentral:tRNA from 1 species
GGGGGUGUAGCUCAGUUGGGAGAGCAUCUGCUUUGCAAGCAGAGGGUCAUCGGUUCAAGUCCGUUCACCUCCA